rnacentral:lncRNA from 1 species
AUAGCAACUUUGGCUCUAUUGCCGAUCCAAAAGAUUAUGUCAUCUUCCUUCAAUCUUCUACUUUCUAUUAGACCCUACAUUGAAGUACAUAUAUGACUACUCGAAUCAGAGUUCAAUACCCAACUAGAAAUAGAAGAAACCAUAAGGUUAUAUUCAAUUACGAGCAUAUCUUUUGAAGGUUUGUCACCUUUUUUAGUCUUCAGGUUCUCCAGGU